GUCUAUCCUAUCCUAUCUGGAAUGAAGGGAUGGGGCAAGGAAAUAGACAAGGGGAGGAGACAAGAAACCAAGCCAUUUGGCCUCUGGGAUGAGAGUGGGCAAGGCUGGUUGGUGAAAAGCUGGACAGGAGACUGUGGUUGUUUCUCCUCCACAAGUCAAAGGCAGGAGGUCAAGCCUCAGGAGCAACCCGACAAUAACAAACAAGCCUG